CCUACGGGGCGCAGCAGUCGAGAAUCUUUCACAAUGGGGGAAACCCUGAUGGUGCGACGCCGCGUGGGGGAAUGAAGGUCUUCGGAUUGUAAACCCCUGUCAUGUGGGAGCAAAUUAAAAAGAUAGUACCACAUGAGGAAGAGACGGCUAACUCUGUGCCAGCAGCCGCGGUAAUACAGAGGUCUCAAGCGUUGUUCGGAAUCACUGGGCGUAAAGCGUGCGUAGGCUGUUUCGUAAGUCGUGUGUGAAAGGCGCGGGCUCAACCCGCGGACGGCACAUGAUACUGGGAGACUAGAGUAAUGGAGGGGGAACCGGAAUUCUCGGUGUAGCAGUGAAAUGCGUAGAUAUCGAGAGGAACACUCGUGGCGAAGGCAGGUUCCUGGACAUUAACUGACGCUGAGGCACGAAGGCCAGGGGAGCGAAAGGGAUUAGAUACCCUUGUAGUC
rnacentral:rRNA from 1 species